rnacentral:rRNA from 1 species
GAGUUUGAUCCUGGCUCAGGAUGAACGCCGGCGGUGUGCCUAAUACAUGCAAGUCGUACGCACUGGCCCAACUGAUUGAUGGUGCUUGCACCUGAUUGACGAUGGAUCACCAGUGAGUGGCGGACGGGUGAGUAACACGUAGGUAACCUGCCCCGGAGCGGGGGAUAACAUUUGGAAACAGAUGCUAAUACCGCAUAACAACAAAGGCCACAUGGCUUUUGUUUGAAAGAUGGCUUUGGCCAUCACUCUGGGAUGGACCUGCGGUGCAUUAGCUAGUUGGUAAGGUAACGGCUUACCAAGGCGAUGAUGCAUAGCCGAGUUGAGAGACUGAUCGGCCACAAUGGAACUGAGACACGGUCCAUACUCCUACGGGAGGCAGCAGUAGGGAAUCUUCCACAAUGGGCGCAAGCCUGAUGGAGCAACACCGCGUGAGUGAAGAAGGUUUCGGCUCGUAAAGCUCUGUUGUUGGAGAAGAACGUGCGUGAGAGU